rnacentral:snoRNA from 1 species
AUCCAUGACUCCAUGGGGGCAGCCGCAUGUGGCUGUGUCCCUUCCUAGGCAUGGAAGAGCAGUUCCUUGCUAAUUGGCAAAACUUUUACCCUCUUGUGGGCAUUAGUCGUUGACUGUAGCAAGUAACAGGC